rnacentral:misc_RNA from 1 species
UCCAUGCAAGUUCAAUUUUUGCCAGAGUUGCUAGUCCGGCUCUGGCUGUUUGCAGUAGGAUCUCUACCAUAAUAAAGUAGAUUAAUAGAACGAAAGUCAGUGAUUCUUGCAAUUGCAAAUUCGCUUGCAGUUCCUACGAUUGGUUUGGCCAAUGCCCACGCAUUCUGCUAUGCCUUGGAAAAUUGGUUUUAUGAUCCAAGGGAGAAGAAGUGAGAGCUUGAGGUCCACAAAUUUCCUGAAUUUGAAGGAACACAGGA